ACGCUCGACACCUACGGGACGCAGCAGUAGGGAAUCUUCCGCAAUGGACGAAAGUCUGACGGAGCAACGCCGCGUGAACGAUGAAGGUUUUCGGAUCGUAAAGUUCUGUUGUUAGGGAAGAACAAACUUCGUUUGAAUAAGGCGGAGUCAUGACGGUACCUAACGAGAAAGCCACGGCUAACUACGUGCCAGCAGCCGCGGUAAUCUGAGCGGGCUGGCAAGGC
rnacentral:rRNA from 1 species